rnacentral:pre_miRNA from 1 species
GGUGUGGGAGGCGGUUAUGGUAUUGCGCUGGUAUGUUGAUUCUGUGUUCAUACCCGUAAUUGCCAUGACUGUUUCCCGCUCC